UUGCUCACUUUGGCAACACAUAUACUAAAAUUGUAAGGAUGCGGGAAGAUUAGUAUAGCCUCUGUGCAAGUUUGACAGGCAAUUCAUGAAGCAUUCUAUAUUUUU
rnacentral:snRNA from 1 species